rnacentral:sRNA from 1 species
AACCUGCAGGCUGCCUAACGGAUUUUCGCCUCUGGCCUUUGACCACGGAUGUACUGGCACGGGCCGUCGAGGCGAACAGGAGAAGGUCGGGCGAGUCCCGGCCUUUUUUGU